UUUAAUGGCCGCAGUAUUUUGACUGUGCAAAGGUAGCAUAAUCAAUAGUUUCUUAAUUAGAAGCUGGAAUGAAAGGUUGAACGAGAAAAUUACUGUCUCUUUAAUAAAAUUAUAAAAUUUUAUUUUUAAGUUAAAAAGCUUAAAUGUACUUAAAAGACGAGAAGACCCUAUAGAUUUUUAUAAAUUUUUGUAUAGUAUUUUUUUAUUAAUAAAUUUAAUUUUAUAUAAAAUUUUAUUUAGUUGGGGUGAUUAAAAAAUUUAUAUAACUUUUUAUUAUUAAUUACAUAUAUUUAUGAUUUAUUGAUCCAUUAUUUAUGAUUAUAAGAUUAAAUUACCUUAGGGAUAACAGCGUAAUUUUUUUUUAGAGUUCAAAUCGAUAAAAAAGUUUGCGACCUCGAUGUUGGAUUAAAAUUUAUUUUUGGUGUAGAAGCUUUAAUAAUUAGGUCUGUUCGACCUUUGAAAUUUUACAUGAUCUGAGUUUAAACCGGUGUAAGCCAGGUUGGUUUCUAUCUUUAAAAUUAAUAUAAUAUUUUAGUACGAAAGGACCAAAUAUUUUUAAUAUUUAAUUGUAUAUUUGAUUAUUAUU
rnacentral:rRNA from 1 species